UCUGGUUGAUCCUGCCAGUAGUCAUAUGCUUGUCUCAAAGAUUAAGCCAUGCAUGUCUAAGUAUAAGCAAUUUAUACAGUGAAACUGCGAAUGGCUCAUUAAAUCAGUUAUCGUUUAUUUGAUAGUUCCUUUACUACAUGGUAUAACUGUGGUAAUUCUAGAGCUAAUACAUGCUUAAAAUCUCGACCCUUUGGAAGAGAUGUAUUUAUUAGAUAAAAAAUCAAUGUCUUCGGACUCUUUGAUGAUUCAUAAUAACUUUUCGAAUCGCAUGGCCUUGUGCUGGCGAUGGUUCAUUCAAAUUUCUGCCCUAUCAACUUUCGAUGGUAGGAUAGUGGCCUACCAUGGUUUCAACGGGUAACGGGGAAUAAGGGUUCGAUUCCGGAGAGGGAGCCUGAGAAACGGCUACCACAUCCAAGGAAGGCAGCAGGCGCGCAAAUUACCCAAUCCUAAUUCAGGGAGGUAGUGACAAUAAAUAACGAUACAGGGCCCAUUCGGGUCUUGUAAUUGGAAUGAGUACAAUGUAAAUACCUUAACGAGGAACAAUUGGAGGGCAAGUCUGGUGCCAGCAGCCGCGGUAAUUCCAGCUCCAAUAGCGUAUAUUAAAGUUGUUGCAGUUAAAAAGCUCGUAGUUGAACUUUGGGCUCGGUUGGCCGGUCCGAUUUUUUCGUGUACUGGAUUUCCAACGGGGCCUUUCCUUCUGGCUAACCUUGAGUCCUUGUGGCUCUUGGCGAACCAGGACUUUUACUUUGAAAAAAUUAGAGUGUUCAAAGCAGGCGUAUUGCUCGAAUAUAUUAGCAUGGAAUAAUAGAAUAGGACGUUUGGUUCUAUUUUGUUGGUUUCUAGGACCAUCGUAAUGAUUAAUAGGGACGGUCGGGGGCAUCAGUAUUCAAUUGUCAGAGGUGAAAUUCUUGGAUUUAUUGAAGACUAACUACUGCGAAAGCAUUUGCCAAGGACGUUUUCAUUAAUCAAGAACGAAAGUUAGGGGAUCGAAGAUGAUCAGAUACCGUCGUAGUCUUAACCAUAAACUAUGCCGACUAGGGAUCGGGUGGUGUUUUUUUAAUGACCCACUCGGCACCUUACGAGAAAUCAAAGUCUUUGGGUUCUGGGGGAGUAUGGUCGCAAGGCUGAAACUUAAAGGAAUUGACGGAAGGGCACCACCAGGAGUGGAGCCUGCGGCUUAAUUUGACUCAACACGGGGAAACUCACCAGGUCCAGACACAAUAAGGAUUGACAGAUUGAGAGCUCUUUCUUGAUUUUGUGGGUGGUGGUGCAUGGCCGUUCUUAGUUGGUGGAGUGAUUUGUCUGCUUAAUUGCGAUAACGAACGAGACCUUAACCUACUAAAUAGUGGUGCUAGCAUUUGCUGGUUAUCCACUUCUUAGAGGGACUAUCGGUUUCAAGCCGAUGGAAGUUUGAGGCAAUAACAGGUCUGUGAUGCCCUUAGACGUUCUGGGCCGCACGCGCGCUACACUGACGGAGCCAGCGAGUCUAACCUUGGCCGAGAGGUCUUGGUAAUCUUGUGAAACUCCGUCGUGCUGGGGAUAGAGCAUUGUAAUUAUUGCUCUUCAACGAGGAAUUCCUAGUAAGCGCAAGUCAUCAGCUUGCGUUGAUUACGUCCCUGCCCUUUGUACACACCGCCCGUCGCUAGUACCGAUUGAAUGGCUUAGUGAGGCCUCAGGAUCUGCUUAGAGAAGGGGGCAACUCCAUCUCAGAGCGGAGAAUUUGGACAAACUUGGUCAUUUAGAGGAACUAAAAGUCGUAACAAGGUUUCCGUAGGUGAACCUGCGGAAG
rnacentral:rRNA from 1 species